rnacentral:misc_RNA from 1 species
UGGACCUGGUUCUUGUGGUUACAACAAUGUAUGCACUCUUGGUACAAACGAUAGACCAGUUUGUAACUGUCCGAAAGGAUAUUCGUUGGUUGAUCCGAAUGAUGCUUAUGGUGACUGCAAACCAGAUUUUUCGAUAAGUUGUGAUGAAGUUGGGAGGGGUUCACCUGAUGAUAUAUACAAUUUAACCACGAUUCGUGAUAUUGAUUGGCCGCUAUCUGACUUUCA